UACGAGGGGGGCAAGCGUUGUUCGGAAUUAUUGGGCGUAAAGGGUGCGUAGGCGGUGCGGUAAGUCUGUUGUGAAAUCUCCGGGCUCAACUCGGAGUCUGCAUCAGAAACUGCCGUGCUGGAGUGUGGGAGAGGUGAGUGGAAUUCCCGGUGUAGCGGUGAAAUGCGUAGAGAUGUGGAGGAACACCAGUGGCGAAGGCGACUCUUUGGCCUGUAACUGACGCUGAGGCGCGAAAGCGUGGGGAGCAAACAGG
rnacentral:rRNA from 1 species